GUUUAUAUAGUUUAAUAAAACGGUACGUUUUCAUUGUACAGAUAAUAUUUUAGUAUUUAUAAAUAA
rnacentral:tRNA from 1 species